UUUUUUUUUUUUUUUUUCAAGUCUGAGCAAGUCUAUAUUACUUGAGACCCAAAACAUGCUCACUGGUUUUGGCUACAUGUGUCACAAAAAUAUGUCAGGAGGUGACCUCUCUGUCAUGUUUAAUAUUAUUUUUACAGUCUUACAUUUGAAGGAGGCUUUUUAUUAUCAUUACCUUUAGCAGAAUUAUUCUAAAUCAUCAUUUCAGUGUAUACUGAAAUUAUCUGAAGACACAGGUUAGGAAAAUUGACUUUAUAUUUAAUAAAAAAGUAUCAACUAUUGCAAAAAUUCUUAUUACUAUCUUUAUAUUCUUAAUUACAAUUGAACACUUUGAUAUGUCUGGUAAAAGAGCUGUUCUGAUAUAAUACUUGUUAAAUUCAGUUCUACACAAGAAAACACAUGGUUGUAUGCAAACUUACAAUCGGUCCACAUGCUUUAGCUCCUAAAACUAUUCUAAUAAUCAUGGUGACUUCUAAAAUAUAACUAGUUUGAAUUUUUUCAGUAUUACAGCACAGGAUUAGUUGAAACCAGCGAUGCUUUUUUAAAAUUCAUUUAUUUAUUUUAUUUAUUGAAUGUUUUUUAAUAUCUGGUUAUUUGAAAUUACUACACCAAGAAUGAGCAAAGGCAAAAAUUUGUAAAUUAUACAAAAAAACUCAAAAAAAUGAUCAACAUAUCUAAAGAGUACUGAAAAUUCCCUGGCAACUAAAAAGUCCUUCCCCCAGUUUGAAAGAUUCAGUAAAGAUAUCAAUUUACAAUUUUUGGCCCUGUAUCAUCAAGAAUUAAGAUAAUUUAUGUUUUAUAGCAUGAUGAGCUUCUGGGCCUUCUGUCAUAGUUACCUGUCUGAAAGGGAGGCUGCUCAAGAUUGCUGUAUUUUUUUUUUCUUUGCUAGUAGGAGCCCAAUAAGAAUUUAAACAGUUUUAGUACUAACUGCUACUAGAUCAAGCUGAACAUUAAACACAUGGAACACAAUUGUAAAAGAAAUCCUUACCUGCUCAUCAUUGAAGGAUUCCCUGCUGAAUCCAGUUAUGAUGCACAUGUGCUAUAACUAAUAAUGAGAAUGAAGAGGAUCUUCAGUAACACAGUUUUCUGAUUAUAGUAGAAAAAAGUACAAAGGAGUACAAGGGCAAUUUUACUCUAUAAGAUAUCAGUGACUAUGAGCUUGAUCAUUGCCAAAUUAGGAAUGUCUGUAUUGAAAACUGCAAUGUGGAAAUUACUUUAAAGAACUUGUGUACUAUAAAUAGCUCUUUAAAUUCAGUGUGAAUUCUUUUACUCUUUACAGUAGAAGAUAGAUUUGUAAUUUUGCUGAUCUAUAAUAGCCAUUUUUAAAUUGCUAGAAUAGACUGGAUUCUGGAAGAUUUUCAAGCUUUACUGCAGCUUUUCAUAAUACAUAAUGUUUUGACUGUCAUCUCUUAGGAUAUUUCUUAGCAUGUUCAAAGGACACAACCAAACACACACACAAAAAAAUCAGGAAACAAAGCUUUUACAUUCAGAAACUGCCAGAGAAAUAAAUAUCUGUAUGUUGUUUUUCUACAUAGAAACCAUUUCAAAUCAUUAAGUGGUUAUUAUUACUUCAAACAUGUUGACACAGAUCCUGAAGCCAGAAUUUAAAUGAACACUGUUUUUUUUAUGUUCAUAAGCUAAAACUGUGUUAUUUCUUGAUUCUGUUAUUUGCAAGAUCUGCAAGCAUUUAUUACUGUGUUAUAUAAAUGAAUAGCUACAACUACUUUAGACAGGCUGCUGAGAAAACAGCAACAUAAUUUGGACUAAUAGGGAAAGACAUGAUAGUGGGGAAAAAAGGCCUAAACUAGAACAGACACUUUGAACAUGAGGGGGGAAAACAAUCCUCUUUGGAUUAACUUGAUAAUAUUUAAAUCAGCCUAGAUCUUCCUUUCCAUGGAAAGAGAAAUACAGUACAGCUGGAACUCAGCAAAAUCACAUUAAAAACUCCUUGGAUUUUAUGGCUGAUUCUCCUCCCCAGCAGAAGCAGAACUAAGUUGCUUUUGCACAGACAGAGAACUGAAAGAAUUCUAGGAAAAUAUACAUGGAGAUAAACUGUGUAAAUGCCUUUCAAGCCUCCAAUUUUAAGAGGGUUCCAGAAAUUGCAGACACUUUGUUUUCAAGAUUGCUAUAGUUGUGGCAGCUGUAGUUGGUGUAAUGUCAUCACUCACUGGGUAGAUCUGAAAGCUGCUGUUUUGACCAAUACCAAAACACUCAAGAACCAAAAGCACAAUCUAUGAUGCUUUGAAAAAGAGACAAGGUUCAAAUGAAAUUAGUUCAUUUCAGUAUUGGUACAGGGGUAAACUGGUAAGGAAAAAUACCCAAGAAACUAUGUGCAUAUAUCUAUCUGUGGCCUUCUCAGACAGUAUAUAUAGAAAGACAUUCAAUAGCAAGACAUAAGUAUUAAUUAAUCAAUAAAAAUAUUAUCCCAACUGGAAAUAUGCUCUUUGUUUAAUUCAAGUGGAGUAGCAAGAAAGGAAAAGACAGGAGUAUUCUUCCAUAUCACCUGAAGCUUUAUGUACUGAUUUAGUCAGCAUAUGUGUGUAAUAAAACUGCACAAUAGUUGGUGUUUUUUUCAUGUAUACAAAUACAUGAAUCAAUAUGUAUUAUAUACAUAAAUGCCCAAUAACUUUUGUAAUACUUCAACAGAGACUAAAAGAUAAAGCACAUAAGAAGUAAAUGAUGUGUAGUAGUUAAAAAAAAAAUAGAUACUUAAUUUCUUUGAUGGUUCAUUCCAUCUUCUUACCUUUCAUUCCAUCUUCUUACCUUAUAACUUCUUUCAAAUGCCAGAUAUUGCUACCCUGGUGUCGUAGGGUGACUUUAUGAUACUUGUACCCCUAUUCACCUCUUUAGCCCAGAAAUCAGUUUUGCACCUUUAAGACUGAUUCUGAGAGUGAAGGAUGGGGGGAAGAAGUGUGGAGUUUGUUAUCAGAAACUGCACUUGCUCCCCCACAUCUUUCUCCUGGACUGUUAUCUGCAGCACAGACAGACAGCAGGACAGAGCUCUCCUUUGCUUUUUAGUUAGUUUUAGCUAGCUGGGGCAGAGAAGUUCCCUGGACUGUGUUUUUUCUUUUUCUUGGAACUAUUUGAACCUGCUCUGGACUGAAUGCCCAGAAGAGCAGUGGCAGCUCACACCUGUGGCCACAGGGAUGGGUCUGGGUAGCUGCGUUUCCAGAGCUGGAGGGACUGAUAAGAGACUGAGUGAGCCGAGCUACAGCCCACCAAGGGGACUUGCUGAGCUUGUCAUCUCUAAGGACUGGCGAGAGGUUUUAUUGCUUAAUAUUGUUCAAUUUUGUGCUGGUGAAUGCUUUGCCUGUUAAAUAAACAAGUUUUUUCCACUUUUCUCCAAGAAAAUCUUACCCUGAACCAGCUGGAGGAGGAGUUGCUUGAAUUUGCUUUUUAAAGGAACCCCUUUGGAGGUUUUCUCCCAAAUUUGCCCUAAACCAGGACACCUGAUAAUCAACAAAAAAAUAAAAACCAGAAAGAUGUCUCUGACAUAAGGAAAAAUUACUUCCAAACACAAGUUUAUAGAAUGAAACUAAGCACUCAAUAAAUUUUAUGUUAGCUGUCUAAGCAUUAGUGUUUAAGGUCAAGAUGAUUAACUCAUUGAUUAUAGAAGGAGGUCUCCAUGGCUACCUUGAUCCAAAAGUUUCAGUGGAUACCUAAGAAAAAUACUGAAGAUAAUGUAGAGGAAUAAGAGAAUGAUCCUCACACCAUAACCGAUCAAAAAAAUUAUAUGCUCCAAGACUGAGUCUUAGUCCUAGUCUUCAGGACUUUUCUUUACAGGCAAAGUAAACUGUACUUCAAAACAGCAUUCAAGUGUCACCUAAAGGCUAUUCAAAUCCAAAUAUUUUCUUCACAUGCACAAAACUUCACUAAGCAAAUGAACUCAGAACCAGAAGUUAGACUAUAUGACUACAAAUUACACACUGCAGCCACAAAGACUGUUAAUGAAUGAACAACAUAAGUAUAUUUUUAAACAUGCUUCAAAAUAAGUGGAGACGUGGUACUGAGUUCUGCACUGACACGGAGAAUAGCAAGUCUGCCUAAGAUUCAUUACUAGAUUCAAUACUAGAUUCACUGCCAUUAAAUGAAAAUUAAACUUAUGGGGCAUUAUUAUUAUUACAAUAAAUUCCAGCGUUGAUACAGAAAAGCUUUUGCACAUUCUCAGAAAAUCUUAAAAACAUAAAGUUUGUAAACACAGAUGCUUCUGUAUGGCUUUUCUUGUACCAAAUGUUGCCUCUCCCUGACAAUGCACAGCAAGUUGUUAAGUUCUUUAGGCUAUAUUCCCAUUGACACCAAAGUGACUGUCUUAAACCCCAACUUCAUGAUGCAGAAGGUUCAACACCUCCACUGGCAUAAGGAGCUGUUCCUGUUUAUUUCUUUUCAAUAGUCCUUUUUGCUUUUUCACCAUUUUUCUGUUUCAUCAGACUAAAUUCCUGAUGCUAUUCAUAGUACAGGUCCACAAAUGACUGUGAUAGCACAUGAUCAGUGAGCUGAAGGACACAAGUAAAAAUUUCUAUGCAAGGCAAAUUAGGACUUUAGUCCUUUGUAUUAUGAGUGCAAACAACUGGAAUAUUGCAGGUUAAAUUUUGCCAAGAGGUAUAACCUUCAGCAGGGAAAGGCAAAGAUUCAAGGCAGCUUUCAGGCUAUGCCUGAGCUUCUUCUGUGAGGAGAAAACACAUUUUUCUCCUGAUUUUCUCAUGUACUCUGACAGAAAGGCAAGUUGGUAGCAAUUUAGAGAAACAUUUGCUGGCACUUCUGAGAUUUAGUGUCUCCUUUGGAGGUGAAAAGUACUAUUUUUGAAGGCAGUGUUGAUAAAAGCAUGCAAACUGCAUUAAAACUUCAUCUUAUUGUUCACUGUGGGAGGCAAAAACUGAUGGGCAAAAGUGAAAAUACUGUUUAAUAAAACCCUUGAUAAAGACAUGCUUUACUGGAACAGACCUUUUAAGGAUUGCAGAUCUGCUGAAAUACACAUCUUCCUCUGUAAAGUUGAGUAGGUUUGUGUCAGGUAGACUAAACCAAAACCAUACAAUAUACAGCUGGCAUCAGUGUCAGUGUUCUCUGGAGCUCUCAAUGACUAAAACAUCACUAAGGAAAGUUACCACUCAGAUCUGCCUAAUGCAGUAAUACAUGUGUGAAAACAAAUUGCUGAGCAGUAGUAGGGUACUACAGAAAGCUUUUAAGUACUGAUAUGUUUUUGAUAAAGGCAAAUCAGUAUAUGUUUCCACAUGUCUGACUGGAUUGUGCUGGUAUAAUCUAUUAUUUCAUUUUGCAAAAUCCUUCAUCUCAGUCACCUUGUAGAUAUGCUAACCCAUAAACUGCAUGCAAGGGUUAAUGUAUAUCAAAUUAAUAGAUCAGUAACUUUCUUCUCAUAAGGGAUGUCAGUCUAUACAAAUGACUAAGUAAAAACUGCUGAUGGAAUACAUAACAUAGCAGCAGAUGUGCUGUACCAUGACACAUUCUAAACAUACCUAUGGGACCAGCUGCAGAGAAACUAUGCCUGGUAGGCUCCUGUGUGUGCCCACAUACCUGUUUUCAAUUGCUCGUGCUUUCCCUCAUCAAUCCAAGCAUUCUUGCUCUCAACAAAACUCACCAUCCUCACAGAUAAGCACUUAUAUAAGAAAUUCAAAUGGUUAAUUUGGAAAAUCCUUCUCUAGACUGAACGCUGCUGUUUUCAGCACAGCUCAUACAUAUAUGUGCAAAAGCUAACUACACUGAAAUAUAUGCCUUGAACUGUAACUAGCUCUUUCCUCUUAUCUUUUUCCUUCUUCUCUAUUUUAUUAUAGCAGAGGGAAAUAAUAAUUUCACACGAAUAAACAAUAUCUGAUGUCUCUAUCAGCUUCAUAAAUAAUACUACUUUAUUUUGUUUGUGCUACAAAUACAUUUCUAUACAGUCCUAUACUAUUUCCAGACAGAUUAAUAAACUAUAUAUAAACCAGGCAAAAAAUUGACUCUUUUUAUUCAACUACUCAUAUAAGAAUAUUUGAAUCCUAUAUACGUUUUUUUCUGUCAGUUUUUAAUAUUUUUCUACAUUACUAGGUGGAGGAACUCAAGAAACAGUAACUGAAUCACAUGAUAUUGUACCACAUGUGCCCUCUGCUGAAUGAUAGUGGCUCACAUUGUAACAAGAUAUUAUUAGAAGGUUGUCUCUAACAUGGAGUGAAAAUCAUUCUGGCUCCCAUCCAAACUUUAAUAGGGACUUUAACCUUCCAGACAGCACUGACCGCUGUUAGCAAGAUACAGCCUACUGGAGCUCCUCAUAAUUUAUACACAUAAAGUUGUGCAGUCACUUUCAGGAAGUGAAGAUCCCAAGGCUAUUUCUCAUGGAAAGAGAGUACACUGACAAUUUGUACAGAAAGCAGAAUGAAGAACACAAAAAAGUCUUCCUCAGGAAGCAUGUAGACUAUACAUGGAAUCCCAGUAGAAUAGCGAAAGACCUAAACUGUCAUUACUCAGAAGAAAUCAUUGAUAUUAUUCACUAAUGACACAGAAAUCAUAUUCAGAAAGGGAUGAUUUUCCCCAUUCUGGCCAGUACAGCAGAAGUCUAUGAUUCUUAUAAUAUUCAUCAUAAGACAAAAUUGAUUCAAAAGCUAUUACUAGCUAUAAUAAUGUGACAUUUCUGCUUCUACAACUGCCUGAAAGGAGGCUGUAUAAGGUGGAGGUCGAUCUCUUCUCCCAGGUAACAAGUGAUAGGACAAAAGGAAAUGGUCUCAAGUUCCACCAGGGGAAGAUUGUAUAUUAGGAAAAUUUUCUUCACUGAAAUAGUGUUCAGGUGUUGGAACAGGCUGCCCAAGGAAGUGGUUGGCUCACCAUCCCCCGGAAGAGUCCAAAAAACAUGGAUGUGGUACUUGGAGAUAUGGUUUAGUGCUGACCGUAUUUGUGCUAGGUUAAAGAUUGGACUUAAUCUUAGAGGGAUUUUCCAACCUUAAUGAUUCUAUGAUAUUCAGUGAUGUUUUGACCCUGCCACGUAACCUUUCACGAGAACAUAUCACUCACUCAUUAUCAAAUUCUUUUCUCCAUAGACAAGAACCAGGUUAGACUAGGCCUUCAAAUUUACUUAGCAGCCAGUAAAACACUUUUUCUAGUACCUUGUAAAGGACCUUAGGACUUCAAUAUUCAACUGAGAAGUGUUAAAUAUUGAGCCAGAAUAAUGAGUCUGUGAAUUUCAGAAAACUCCUGGGAGCGAGCUGACACUGAAUGGUGCCACCAGAGUGCAAAUUGCUUCAGAUCAGGGUACUGUACACGUAAAAGAACAUCCAUCAUAGUGGCCAUGUUAACAAAUGGUAUUAGAGCUGGAAGGGCUGUAUAAAUACCCUGACAGUUUUCUGGCUAAUAAAACACAAAAAUAACUGAACUAUGGCUUUAAAGACUAUGCAAAAAGUUAAGGUAUGGAGUCAAGGAGGAGUAUUUUUUUCCAUAUCAACCGCUAGUUAGAGUAGUAAUUUCAAUAGUCUGCACUAUUAUAUACAAAAGGUGGAUCUGACAAUAUGUGUUUUCCUUCCAGAUUUGCUGGAAAACACUGGAAACUCACUGGGUACUGGGACUCUAAGGGGAACAUUGCCUUUAAUAACUUCUGCCCCUGAUUCUAGGAAUUCAGCAUGACUAAGAGGAAAAUUUGAACAUGAAGAUAUCCUAAAAAUCUGGAAAACACUGUUGUAGUAUUUCUGGAAGAGGUUAGCAUGCAUAUUUUCUCUGGGGGGAAUGAUGGUUUCUUUAAUAAAAAAUAGAAGGUUUUUUAGAGCAGAGGUCAUACCAGCAUUAGAUAUCUGACAUUAGGGAUGAACAUUCCCAUGCAAGACUGCCUAGAACCAACCUUCAGGCUGCGAGCUCCUUGAGGCAAAGUCUCUUUUGUGCUGUGUACAGCACUGAACAUUCUGAGUUCAUCAAAAAGCAAUAAACUAAAUCAUAUCCUACACAAACAGUCAUAAAGUCACAUGUAUUAUCACAUGUAUUAACAGAUCUAAGGAACAUUCUAUUGCUACAGCAUUACAUGCUUGGAAACCUAUACUAGCCGAAAAGAAAAGAUAAAUAUGAAAAUGUCACAUAUUUUGAUGUUGAGAUAUAGCCAAAAUCUUAAUAGUACAACAUGACUGAGAGAGAAGGUGCAGAAUUUUACAGAGAUUUCACAUUUAAAAGCUUAAAUAGUUAUAAAAUUUUGACACAGCUGGACAAAAUGUAACGGAAUAGAGAUUAAAAUUUUCCUUCAGUGAGGUGCACUUUCUCUUUAUGUGUAAAUGGGAUAAAUACAGUUAACACAGCUGUCUUCUCGCUGCCUUUUUCACAUCUUUGACAGUGGUGCUUAUCUCAUUGCAAGAGUGGUAUUACCAGAUGAACAGCUCAGAUGCUCCCGCCCCUGCUUUUUUUUUUUUUUUUUUUUUUUUUUUGAUUAGCUAACACACUAGAGGUCAUCUGCAGAAAGAAGGCAUGUGGAUGUUAUAAUAUAUUUUAGUC
rnacentral:lncRNA from 1 species